UACGGAGGGUGCAAGCGUUAUCCGGAUUCACUGGGCUUAAAGGGUGCGUAGGUGGGUUGGUAAGUCAGUGGUGAAAUCUUCGAGCUUAACUCGGAAACUGCCAUUGAUACUAUUAAUCUUGAAUUAUCUGGAGGUAAGCGGAAUAUGUCAUGUAGCGGUGAAAUGCUUAGAUAUGACAUAGAACACCCAUUGCGAAGGCAGCUUACUACGGAUAUAUUGACACUGAGGCACGAAAGCGUGGGGAUCAAACAGG
rnacentral:rRNA from 1 species